CAUAAAUCAAAACGAUGCAUUUAAAUUUUGAACUGAAAAUUUAUUAAUUGACUCAAAUCUAUUUUGUAGAAAGGUUGGACACAGUAAAAACAAAAUUUAAAAAGGUUGGAUGACUGAUUAAAAAUUGUUCAUAGUUAAGAAAAGUUUUAUACGUUUUUACUUUGAUUUUAAUAUCAAACUUCAAUACUAUAUUUAUAGUCUGAUAAGUGAUCAAUUUCACAUUUAAAGUCUUUUAGAAUAUAUAAAAUAUGAUUGGUCGACCUUUAAUUUUAACAUUUAGGCAUUGUAAAAUUUAUUAGAUAGUUUAAUAAAUUUUUUCCUCAAAUAAAAUUACUAAUUAAACAAAAUCGAUUGAUACUCAACUUUAUCUUCGUCUGGAAUAAAAUUAAAAUAUAAAAGGGUAAAUUACACUUUGGUCCCAAAAUAUAAGAUCUAGUACUUUAGUCUUCAAAUUUUAAUAUAUUACAUUUUCUUGCUUAAACUCUGAGGCACGUGACGCUUUAAUUCUCAAACUUUAAUUACUUACAAUUUUCUAAUUAUGAGUCAUAAGAUAUUUUAAUCUUUAACUUUUUACUGCU
rnacentral:lncRNA from 1 species